UUUAAGCUGUGCGCUGAUUAUAAAAUUAUCAUUUACUCUGUAGCGGAUGAUUGAAACAUUUCGUUUGGGCAUAUCUUCAUUCCUUACAAUUUAUUUAUGAUUAUAAAUGGAAGUGGCAAAGAGUUUCCGUUAUUGCGAGCCCAAAGAUGAAAGGGUUUGGGAUGAACGACCUAUAUCCAAAAAGUUUUUGUCUAGAUCCGAUAGAAAAGUGCAUUCGGAUUUCUAUGCGAAAGAGCUAAAGUUAGCCUGGAUUAUUUUCCUCACAUCAAAUAUAUGCAAAAAAUGAUAAAACUUUUCGAAAGUAAGCUGAAAAACAUCGAAGCUAGAUACAAGUUGGAGUCUGAAUGGUCACUCAGUGAAACAAUGGAGGUUAUACUUCACAUACCAUCAGAUAUAUCUGAAGAAAAUAAAAGAUUGUUGCCUACCGAGAUUGGAGAGAAUGAAUUUCAUGUGGAUAUUGCAGAUAUAUGGCCAGCCUCUGUUCUGAUUUAUUUUCAAGGACAAAAAGAAAGCCUUGAA